CACGUAGGGCGCAAGCGUGUCCGGAAUUAUUGGGCGUAAAGAGCUCGUAGGCGGUCUGUUGCGUCCGCUGUGAAAACUCGGGGCUUAACCCCGAGCCUGCAGUGGAUACGGGCAGACUAGAGGUAGGUAGGGGAGAAUGGAAUUCCCGGUGUAGCGGUGAAAUGCGCAGAUAUCGGGAGGAACACCGGUGGUGUAGACGGCUCUCUGGACCGUAACUGACGCUGAGGCACGAAAGCGUGGGUAGCAAACAGGG
rnacentral:rRNA from 1 species